UCUUAUGGAUGAGCAAAGACAGUGGUUUCUUGAGAUGGAAUCUAUCCCUGUUAAAGAUGCUGUGAU
rnacentral:pre_miRNA from 1 species